rnacentral:rRNA from 1 species
AUGACGCUGGUGCAGGUUGAGCCUCCCCUUCCACAGGGAUUCCUCUCCCUCUAUGGAUUACCAGAGAAGGAGGGGACCAGCAGGGGCACCUUGCCGGCGUUGCCGCUGGAGCACCUUGCCGGCUUGCCGCCGGAGGAGCAGGACCUGGUCAACAGGAGGAGCCGUUGGUUCUCUUCAUCUUCCUUCGUUGAGGCAGGCUGCAAGUUCCAAUCCCCCCAACUUUUCACUGUCUCCCAAAUCGCCGACGCCGCGUCCUUUGAUCCUGGCUGCCUCCAGCAGGUUGCUGUCCAUGCCGUCUCCCUCGUUGUCGCGUCUUGCAGACUGGCGCGUCCCAGCAGCCAGUUUCUCCUCCCAUCUGCUGCCCUCCUCCAGCCCCCCCUCCUGGUCGCACCUCCAUCUGCUCAAAGUCCCUCCCUCUGA